rnacentral:lncRNA from 1 species
AAGACACAAGAUAUCACACAAACACAUAGUAAAGCACAGAAGCAGAUGACAUAACAUAAAUACGGCACCCAUAAGGAAUAUAAAACAGAGGAAAGCAGCGGAAAGCACACAGAUUCGUAAUAAGCAUGGAACACUGAAUACGGAAUCAUAACGAAAAAAAAAAAAAUACCCCACCGCUGUAACUGUUCCAUGUCCCGCCUAAUCACCUCACCCCAGUACUUCUUCGGUCUACCCCUACCCCGUCUAAAACCAUCCAACGCUAGCCUCUCAC